rnacentral:rRNA from 1 species
CAGCCGCCGCGGUAAUACGUAGGUGGCAAGCGUUAUCCGGAAUUAUUGGGCGUAAAGGGCUCGCAGGCGGUUUCUUAAGUCUGAUGUGAAAGCCCCCGGCUCAACCGGGGAGGGUCAUUGGAAACUGGGAAACUUGAGUGCAGAAGAGGAGAGUGGAAUUCCACGUGUAGCGGUGAAAUGCGUAGAGAUGUGGAGGAACACCAGUGGCGAAGGCGACUCUCUGGUCUGUAACUGACGCUGAGGAGCGAAAGCGUGGGGAGCGAACAGGAUUAGAUACCCGAGUAGUCCCUGUCUCUUAUAC